rnacentral:rRNA from 1 species
CCCUUAGAUGUUCUGGGCCGCACGCGCGCUACACUGUUCGACGCAGCGAGUCUUAACCUUGACCGAAAGGUUUGGGUAAUCUUCAGCAAAGUCGAACGUGAUGGGGAUCGAUCAUUGCAAUUAUUGAUCGUGAACGAGGAAUUCCUAGUAAGUGCAAGUCAUCAGCUUGCGCUGAUUACGUCCCUGCACUUUGUACACACCGCCCGUCGCACCUACCGAUUGAAUGGUCCGGUGAGGACUCGGGAUUUUUACCAGUUUCCUUCAUUGGGAAUUGGUGAGGAGAACUUGUCCAAACCUUAUCAUUUAGAGGAAGGUGAAGUCGUAACA